UGGGGAAUUUUGGACAAUGGGCGAAAGCCUGAUCCAGCAAUGCCGCGUGUGCGAAGAAGGCCUUCGGGUUGUAAAGCACUUUUGUCCGGAAAGAAAUCCGCCUGGCUAAUACCCGGGCGGGAUGACGGUACCGGAAGAAUAAGCACCGGCUAACUACGUGCCAGCAGCCGCGGUAAUACGUAGGGUGCGAGCGUUAAUCGGAAUUACUGGGCGUAAAGCGUGCGCAGGCGGCUUUGUAAGACAGAUGUGAAAUCCCCGGGCUCAACCUGGGAACUGCAUUUGUGACUGCAAGGCUAGAGUGCGUCAGAGGGAGGUGGAAUUCCGCGUGUAGCAGUGAAAUGCGUAGAGAUGCGGAGGAACACCUAUGGCGAAGGCAGCCUCCUGGGAUGACACUGACGCUCAUGCACGAAAGCGUGGGGAGCAAACA
rnacentral:rRNA from 1 species